rnacentral:antisense_RNA from 1 species
AAAGGGGCACAUCUUGCCAAGGUGUGCCCAAGGGGCAGGUGGGGUUGCUGUGCUGAUGGGUACACAGGGCCCUGCACACAGCUUUCUGGUCAGAGCUGCAAAAGGAGACACAAAAAUCACAACUCAUUCCAAGAGGUGCCUGGAGCCAGCAGCACCCAGCAGCAUUGUUACCACUGCAAGCAGCCACCGAGAGCCGACCUGAGAAUGAACAUGACGGCCAGGGAGGAGGCGGCUCAGCCUGCAGCGUCAGCAGUGCAGUUCGGCAGGGCCUGCUAGUCGUCUUGCUCAAGUUUCAAACUCUGUUUACCAAACGACCACAGAAGCAUUUUAAUAACAAACACCUCACUUGAAGGCCAAUAUGAAAAAUUUUACAUAAAAAAUUAAUUUU